UACGAAGGGGGCUAGCGUUGCUCGGAAUCACUGGGCGUAAAGCGCACGUAGGCGGACUCUUAAGUCGGUGGUGAAAUCCUGGAGCUCAACUCCAGAACUGCCUUCGAUACUGGGAGUCUUCGAGUUCGGGAGAGGUGAGUGGAACUGCGAGUGUAGAGGUGAAAUUCGUAGAUAUUCGCAAGAACACCAGUGGCGAAGGCGGCUCACUGGCCCGAUACUGACGCUGAGGUGCGAAAGCGUGGGGAGCAAACAGG
rnacentral:rRNA from 1 species